rnacentral:rRNA from 1 species
CCUUCGGGUGGCUGCAGUAGGGAAUAUUGGACAAUGGGCGAAAGCCUGAUCCAGCCAUGCCGCGUGAUAGAUGAAGGCCCUCUGGGUUGUAAAUAUCUUUUAUCUGGGAAGAAACAAUCUUAUUCUUAAGAUCUUGACGGUACCAGAGGAAUAAGCACCGGCUAACUCCGUGCCAGCAGCCGCGGUAAUACGGAGGGUGCAGGAGUUAUCCGGAUUCACUGGGUUUAAGGGGGGCGUAGACGGGCUGGGUGAAAGCUCCGAGCUUAACUUGGAAACUGCCAUUGAUACUGCCAGUCUUGAAUGUCGUAGAGGUAAGCGGAAUGUUGCAUGUAGCGGUGAAAUGCUUAGAUAUGUUACAGAACACCAAUUGCGAAGGCAGCUUACUAUGCGAUGAUUGACGCUGAGGCACGAAAGCGUGGGGAGCAAACAGGAUUAGAUACCCCGGUAGUC